GGUCUGAUGGUGUAGUUGGUUAUCACAUCCGCUUCACAAUCCAAUGCGUUCGCGGGCGGUCCUCGGUUCGAUCCCGGGUUAGAUCA